AUUGAACGCUGGCGGCAUGCCUUACACAUGCAAGUCGAACGGCAGCACGGGAGCAAUCCUGGUGGCGAGUGGCGAACGGGUGAGUAAUAUAUCGGAACGUGCCCAGUAGUGGGGGAUAGCCCGGCGAAACCCGGAUUAAUACCGCAUGGGACCUGAGGGUGAAAGCGGGGGAUCGGAAGACCUCGCGCUCUUGGAGCGGCCGAUAUCAGAUUAGCUAGUUGGUGGGGUAAAGGCCUACCAAGGCAACGAUCUGUAGUUGGUCUGAGAGGACGACCAGCCACACUGGGACUGAGACACGGCCCAGACUCCUACGGGGGGCAGCAGUGGGGAAUUUUGGACAAUGGGCGCAAGCCUGAUCCAGCAAUGCCGCGUGCAGGAAGAAGGCCUUCGGGUUGUAAACUGCUUUUGUCAGGGAAGAAAUCCUCUGGGUUAAUACCUCGGGGGGAUGUCGGUACCUGAAGAAUAAGCACCGGCUAACUACGUGCCAGCCGCCGCGGUAACAC
rnacentral:rRNA from 1 species